CGUCAGUUCAUCUGCCUCAUGUACUGUCAGGUUGUGAUUGCAACCAGUGAAGGACAGCAUGUCUUUCUCAUAUCUGUAAAUCAAUCAACAAAGCAAAAUGGAAGAUUGCUGAUCUGUAAACGGUUUCUUUGCAGGAAAUGAAUCUAUCUACCAGGGUGCGACCGAGCUCCUCUAUCUCCUUCCUAUAUUGAAGUGCUUUGUAAUUUGCACGACAACGGAGACGUUGGAGGGAAGGAGCAAGACCAUUAUUGACUAUACGUGAAUCUGUGAACAAAUGUUUUUGAACACCUACCCUGGACCAGGAGGUAGGUGCUCUCAUAUAGGGUUUCACCCUUUUGUAAGUUGGUGGAAGGGAAUCCACGAUUACAAUAUCUUCCUUUAAUA